CGGUUACCGAGUGUACCGCUUGCAGCAAUAGCACAAGAAUACAGUUACAGACAAUGUUAUCUUACAAAAUCAUGUAAUUUGGUAUUGAAAAUUGAUUCACAUAUACAAAAAACUGUGGUAAAUGUUGGUCUGCAUGUUCCUUUGGUAAGCACGAUGAGUGGAGUGUUCAUCUUUAAACAUCCUUGUUACCAGCAAGAGGGUUCGGUAAAGAAAACUAUGGAAAAUUUAGCUAUACCAAUAGAGUCAUUUAAGUUAACACACAGGAACAUCUUUUAAACCAAAUAUCAAACUGCAGGAAAAACUAAGUUUGCUCUUAAAAGACAAGAAACAGGUCAGAAAGUCUAACUGCCAGACAUCUGAAAAAACAACAGACGUCGACAGGUGCAGCAGCUCCAAAAGAAAACCGAGAGACGAAGCUCUAUGAGAAGCAGAAGGGACAACCUAUGAGGCUGGAGGCUUAUGAAGUGCUAAAAGUACUUCUAAUGACAAAAAAUUAGGCUAAAGUCCCUGAAACCUGUCAGGAACAGCUCGAACAGUUGUUUAAGAACUUUAACACUUGUUUUCUCGGAAUGUACAUUUUCCGUCUUUGAGAAAAGAUAUCUCAUGAUGUAUUUAACCAAUUGUCCUGAAAUUUUCAGGGCUUAUUCUUUUAUUAGAGCUGUCUUAAUUAAGCAUAGGAAAUUUCUGUAUCUUGUUUGGAAUACAUUUU